rnacentral:rRNA from 1 species
UACGUGAGUGGCAAGCGUUAUCCGGAAUCAUUGGGCGUAAAGCGUCUGUAGGGGGGCACAUAAGUGGAGUGUCAAAGACUUUGGCUUAACCAAAGAAUCGCAUUUCAUACUGUGUGUCUUGAAGAAGGUAGGGGCAAAUGGAAUUCCCGGUGUAGGGGUUAUAUCCGUAGAUAUCGGGAGGAACACCAAUAGCGAAGGCAAUUUGCUGGGCCUUUCUUGACCCUCAGAGACGAAAGCGUGGGGAGCGAACCGG